rnacentral:misc_RNA from 1 species
GAAAUGCGAUAAGUAAUGUGAAUUGCAGAAUUCAGUGAAUCAUCGAAUCUUUGAACGCACCUUGCGCUCCUUGGUAUUCCUUGGAGCAUGCCUGUUUGAGUAUCAUGAAAUCUUCAAAGUAAAUCUUUUGUUAACUCAAUUGGUUUCUACUUUGGUAUUGGAGGUCUUUGCAGCUUCACACCUGCUCCUCUUUGUUCAUUAGCUGGAUCUCAGUGUUAUGCUUGGUUCCACUCGGCGUGAUAAGUUAUCUAUCGCUGAGGACACUGUAAAAGGUGGCCGAGGUAAAUGCAGAUGAACCGCUUCUAAUAGUCCAUUGACUUGGACAAUACUUUUAUGAUCUGAUCUCAAAUCAGGUAGGACUACCCGCUGAACUUAAGC